CAAAAAAGAACUUGCACCGCUUGUAAAGUUUUCUGGAUUUUUGCUUCAUCUUCUUGUUUCCAAUGCUAAGAUUUUAACAUCUGGUAGCUCUGGAGAUCGAGUGUGGGAUUCUCGAGGAUGUUUAGGUCACCGGAGAAAGUGAAGAUGUAUGAUACAGUAGUAAAAGGGGAAGGAGUGUACACGUGUAAGGUGGAAAUUAGAAGUGGAAUCGAUCAGUUGGAGUUCAGAGACUGAUUUGGGAUCAUUCAUGAAAAAGUUGUUGAAGUUUGUUAGAUUUUAGCUUUCUCUCUCUCUAGUUCUGGGUUUGUAUAACUUUGAUUCAUCCUCUGUGAAGAGCCCUAAGAGGUCCUUACAAGAUGAAUUAGAGGAUUCCUCGUUUUACAGAUCCAAGUAUUGAUUUUGUGAUUGAGCUCCAACUGAUCUCAGCCAUCGAUUCAACUUGUAAUCUCAGCCAUCGGUUCAACUUUACGCGUGUCAAUUCCUUCCCCUUUGACUGUAUCAGGUUAACUGGCUAAGGCUUCUAUGGAGGAGAAUGGAGUUUUGAAUGUAACUGUGUGCCUAAAGUGGAGAUGAUGAAGAAGAAGGUUCAAAACUGGUUUCAUGGGAGACUCUUUGUAGCAAAUUGCCUUCUGUCAACGUUCAAGGGUGAAUAAACCAACAGGAACUUUAAUCUGACGGCGUUUCGAUAGGCUAUAUUGUUGAGGCAUCAUUUUGUAUUUGACAAUUUCAGAAAGCACAGUCAUGGUUAAGGAAGGCACUUGAGGUACAUACUCAACUGAAUCUGCCUUAAGGGUAGCUAAUGAGCAAGUAGCAAUGCUUAAUGAUAGAUAAUGCUAAGUUGCUAAGUUCUUUAUGAUCUGCUGGGAAAUUAACUGAGGAAGCCAAUGAGAAACUAAGGCAGGUGUUGGCAGCUUAGCAUCGUGGCGAGUAGAGUUACUGAGAAUAGGCGGGAAUUAAAGCGGUUCACAAAAACGAAAACUCUGGAAGAAAGAGGUUGAGUCUAUUAGAAGGCAGCAUGCCUCGGGUCAUCUCAGUUCUUCUCUCUACCACCAUGCCAAGUGUGCAUUUUAAAUGAAGAACCUUGUAAGCGAGAAAAGCAUGUUGUGUCAAUAAGAUAUGACCUUGAAGCCGCCCAAGAGCAAAAGGUUAGAUCUUUGGUCAAUAAAAUGACUGCAACAUCUUAUUUUCAGAACCUAUUGAAUGAGAAGAUGGAACUUGCAUUUGAGUUGGAAAACUGUAAGAAGAGGAAGAGGAAAGCAACAAAGCUAUGAAACGCUUAAUUUUGGAUCUGGAGGUUAGUAUCUUUGAAGCAAGGGAAGCGAAGGGGAAGAUGCUCUUGAUAUGGCGACCGUAGCUUCAACGUUGUGGUGCCCAGAUUAAAAGUUUGUAGUUGGCCGCCAAAAGAUACAUUUGAAAACUAAUUUAAAAUGUCUGAAGACUGAGAUUAGGAAACAACCAAAAUGAGUUUGUCAACUCUGUGACUGAGUGUGAACAGCUAAACUUCAUUUGAUGGUUUGUGUGAAAAAAAUCGGUACGGUGGCACAGUGAAUUUGAUUAACCUUAGGAAAAGGAGAAGAAGACGAAGAAGAAGCCAAGGGACCUUAGGAGCGUGAGGAGGAGAUGGAGGGAUCUGUAGGAAAGCAAAGAGUUGAAGAAGCACUGAAAACAUGAAACUUAAAGAGAGCUUGUUGGACAAAGAAAGAAGAUGAGCGAAAGAAGGUUGCUCUAGAAAACAGAAAGCUCAGAGCAAUGUAAGUUUGUUCUCUUGAGGAAAUGUAAAUGAAAGCUUGGUGGAUAAAAAUGCAGCAGACAUUUGUUCUCUCAAGAAGAUUGAAAGAAUUGUAACCAGAAAAUGAGAGCUUAUUUGCACAAAGAAACCAACCUGGAACAUUGUUCAAGAAGCUGAGGGCAUCAAGAGAUAGUAGGAGCUGGCUGUCCCAACCAGUGUAUUAGAGAAUGAUUAAUACCAAAUUACAGAGCACUAAUCAAGAUUAGCUGAGAAAGAAAGAAGCCAAAAAGUCAAUAGAGCCUUCUUAUCAUAAAGAAGAUUGAGGAGUUAGCACUUAAAACUUAUUCCCGUCACCCGUACGUAAAUGACAUCUUCAUGCGUAAGUUUCUCAUGUUCCAGAACACACAAAUAACUUGAACGAACCGUUCUUUCCACACAAAAUGUGAAUUGAAAUGUCAAGUGUGAAUGACAUCUUCCUCCGUAA